rnacentral:rRNA from 1 species
UACGUAGGAGGCAAGCGUUGUCCGGAGUUACUGGGCGUAAAGGGCCCGCAGGCGGUGGAGUAAGUUUGGAGUGACAGUUCCCAGCUUAACCGGGAAAGGACUUCGAAAACUGCUCGACUUGAGGACUGGAGAGGAAGGCGGAAUUCCGGGUGGAGCGGUGAAAUGCGUAGAGAUCCGGAGGAACACCGACGGCGAAGGCAGCCUUCUGGAAAGUACCUGACGCUGAGGGGCGAAAGCUAGGGGAGCGAACGGGAUUAGAUACCCCGGUAGUCCUAGCCGUAAACGAUGACCACUAGACGCAGGGGGAUCGACCCCUUCUGUGUCGCAGUUAACGCGCUAAGUGGUCCGCCUGGGGAGUACGGUCGCAAGAUUAAA